rnacentral:rRNA from 1 species
AUGAACGCUAGCGACAGGCCUAACACAUGCAAGUCGAGGGGCAGCACAAGGAGCAAUCUGAGGUGGCGACCGGCGCACGGGUGAGUAACACGUAUGCAACCUGCCUGUAAGCGGGGAAUAACCCGUUGAAAGACGGACUAAUACCGCAUAAUACUAAAUUACUGCAUGGUAAUUUAUUUAAACAUUUAUGGCUUACAGAUGGGCAUGCGCAUGAUUAGCUAGUUGGAGAGGUAACGGCUCCCCAAGGCAACGAUCAUUAGGGGUCUGAGAGGAAGGUCCCCCACACUGGUACUGAGACACGGACCAGACUCCUACGGGAGGCAGCAGUGAGGAAUAUUGGUCAAUGGACGAGAGUCUGAACCAGCCAAGUCGCGUGCAGGAAGAAUGUUCCCUAUGGAUUGUAAACUGCUUUUGCAGGGGAAUAAAGUGCAUCACGUGUGAUGUUUUGUAUGUACUCUGCGAAUAAGGAUCGGCUAACUCCGUGCCAGCCGCUGC